GGAUUGGAAAAAUUUGGUUUUUAGGAAAGAACAAGGGUGGGGGUAACUGUUCACCCCUGGACGGUUUUUAACCAGAAAGCCACGCUUAAUUACGUGCCAGCAGCCGCGGUAAUACGUAGGUGGCAAGCGUUGUCCGGAUUUAUUGGGCGUAAAGCGAGGGCAGGCGGUUUUUUUUAAGUUUGAUGUGAAAGCCCCCCGGCUCAACCGGGGAGGGUCAUUGGAAACUGGGAGACUUGAGUGCAGAAGAGGAGAGUGGAAUUCCAUGUGUAGCGGUGAAAUGCGUAGAUAUAUGGAGGAACACCAGUGGCGAAGGCGGCUCUCUGGUCUGUAACUGACGCUGAGGCUCGAAAGCGUGGGGAGCAAACAGGAUUAGAUACCCUGGUAGUUCACGCCGUAAACGAUGAGUGCUAAGUGUUGGAGGGUUUCCGCCCUUCAGUGGUGCAGGUAACGCAUUAAGCACUCCGCCUGGGGAGUACGACCGCAAGGUUGAAAAUCAAAGGAAUUGACGGGGGGCCGCACCAGCGGUGGAGCAUGUGGUUUAAUUUGAAGCAACGCGAAGAACCUUACCAGGUCUUGACAUCCUUUGACCCCUCUAGAGAUAGAGCUUUCCCUUUGGGGGCAAAGUGACAGGUGGUGCAUGGUUGU
rnacentral:rRNA from 1 species